GGGGUUGACUGGAUUUGACAGCGGGUAGAAGUGGUAUGUAAGCAUGCAGUGCGCUGGUGGCUAGCACUAUAAUCUGGAGACCAAAAAUUUAACUGGCGAGAAUAACUACGCUCUUGCUGCCUAAUCGAAUCAUAGUAGAUUGGCUUAAUCCCGGCACAAGGUGCUGGGACGAGACUUCUCCCGGAUGCUAACGCCCUGAAGCGAUCCGAUACGGAGGAGCAGAUAAAUCGGGGAUAGUCAAAGUAGGCCUCGAUGCUUUGAUGAAAUUUUAGAGGAUAAGGUUAUGGUUGGUGGCUUCGGUCUUGCCAUGGCACGAAAAUUUAAGCGAAGAUAAGCAUGUAGAAAGCAUAUUAGUUCCUCGUUUGGACGAGGGUUCGAUUCCCUCCAGCUCCACA
rnacentral:tmRNA from 1 species